rnacentral:rRNA from 1 species
AGAGUUUGAUCCUGGCUCAGAUUGAACGCUGGCGGCAGGCCUAACACAUGCAAGUCGAGCGGGGUUUUCGGACCUAGCGGCGGACGGGUGAGUAAUGCGUAGGAAGCUGCCCGAUAGAGGGGGAUACCAGUUGGAAACGACUGUUAAUACCGCAUAAUGUCUACGGACCAAAGUGUGGGACCUUCGGGCCACAUGCUAUCGGAUGCGCCUACGUGGGAUUAGCUAGUUGGUGAGGUAAUGGCUCACCAAGGCGACGAUCUCUAGCUGGUUUGAGAGGAUGAUCAGCCACACUGGAACUGAGACACGGUCCAGACUCCUACGGGAGGCAGCAGUGGGGAAUAUUGGACAAUGGGCGCAAGCCUGAUCCAGCCAUGCCGCGUGUGUGAAGAAGGCCUUCGGGUUGUAAAGCACUUUCAGCGAGGAGGAAGGGUGGUGUGUUAAUAGCACAUCAUUUUGACGUUACUCGCAGAAGAAGCA